rnacentral:rRNA from 1 species
GAUGAACGCUAGCGGGAGGCUUAACACAUGCAAGCUGAGGGGUAUAUUUGGGCUUGCCUAGAUAGAGACCGGCGAACGGGUGCGUAACGCGUAUGUAACUUGCCCUUAUCACAGGGAUAGCCCGGGGAAACCCGAUUAAUACCAGAUAAUAUAUUGUAUAGCAUUAUAUGAUAUUGAAAGAUUUAUCGGAUAAGGAUAGACAUGCGUAGGAUUAGUUAGUUGGUAAGGUAACGGCUUACCAAGACGAUGAUCCUUAGGGGGCCUGAGAGGGUGAUCCCCCACACUGGAACUGAGACACGGACCAGACUCCUACGGGAGGCAGCAGUGAGGAAUAUUGGACAAUGGGUGAGAGCCUGAUCCAGCCAUCCCGCGUGAAGGACUACAGCCCUAUGGGUUUUAAACUUCUUUUGUAUGGGGAUAAACCUACUCUCGUGAGAGUUAGCUGAAGGUACCAUACGAAUAAGCAUCGGCUAACUCCGUGCCAGCCGCCGCU